GCCGCGGUAGUAUAGCCCGGUCAAGUGUAAUGCGCCGAUAGUAUGCGGGCCUUUCGAGCCCGUGACCCGGGUUCAAAUCCCGGCCGCG
rnacentral:tRNA from 1 species